GUGUCAUAAAUUCUUACCGAUUUUUCACUUCUUUAUUUUGUAACCUAUAGACAUAUUUGUUAAUUGUAAAGUACCUCACUUUUACAGCACAUUAUCAUAGCCAGUUUGGUAGUAUAUUUGGUGAAAGGUGAGAACCCAAAGUGGUGAUUUUUAAGGUAUAAUUUUGGUUAGUGUCGUCUGGUCAUCGUUGAAAUGGGACCGGGACGACAGUGUAGUGAAAAUGUGUGUAUGCGCAAAAGCAGCACUGCGCAGUACGCUAGUGCAGGUGAAUUUUAUACAUUGUAACAAGAUGACUUGGCCUGAAGCUGCUCUGGUACUACAUGUAUAUAGUUCAGUGGUUUAUUGUCUCUUAAUAACUAUUUUGGUUAGGGUUAUGUUUGGUAAAAUGAUAAUGCAUUACAUUACAGUAUCCUAGGCUGAGGACUUCAUGGUGCUGAGGGGGUGGAUUUGUAUAUGUGUGUGUGUGUCUGCGUCAGCCAGCGGCCGGGGUUGACUGUAAGUGCGGGUGCAUGGGUGUGUGUGUUCUGCCCCUGAUGUGCCAUGUCGCCCCAUGCCUUGUUUAUUAUGGAGAUGGGAACAAUUUAUUACUGAAUCACACGCAACUCGAUGUACCAAACUUCUCGAGUCAAUACUUCUAAUCCCUAAACUUUGCAUGAUAUUAUAAGCUUUGUCUUGCCUAGAAUGUAACUUCAAUUAUUGUACACUGGAUACUAGUUUUUUACAGGCGACCCUCUGGGCCCUGACAGAAUUAAACUGGUUGACAGGAAGACCAGAAGUGUCAUGGUGCCAUCCCAUCUAGUCUGCCCAGAACCUGCGUGCCUCACCCCCCUCCCCCUAGUGUGUUGAUCUACCGACUGGACCCCACUGCUUCCCCCCGACCGCCCACUCUACAAGAGUUUGACUUUAAAACAAUUCAUUUCAUUUCGGAAAAGUGUCUUAUGUUUAUUGAGUCGCUUGUAAAUGUGAACAAAAUGGUGCGGAAUUGCCAAAUAUGUAACAAAGUUGAAUAUUCUUGUAAUCCUUUUAAGUGCUGUGACUACAGUCUGCUCUCAUGAAGAUGCAUUUUCCUGCCCUGAAGGAACGUAUUUGUACAUGUCUGUGAGUCAUGACGAAUGAUGAAUGACCAAUCUUAGCUUGUCUCAGCAACUUGAAGCAGCAGUUUCAGGCAAUUUUGUUUACAGGAUGGACUGAAUGAAGCCUAGGAAAGAUGGAUUCCAACUGGCUUUAACCCUAAGAGAGCUUAACCCUAAUGGAGGCCAACCCUAACAAAUGCUAACCCUAACUGAGGCCAAUCCUAAUUGCGGGGGGGGGGGGGUCAAUCUUGGACGGUCACGGACAGCCUGUGCACACCAAGCCGUGGAAAUGCACAGUCCAGCAAUGUGAUUCAGCCAGUGAACGUGAGCUUCUAACCAUCUAGGCCCGAGUGACCAAUCCUGUCUCUAGUGUCGGCAACAUGAACCAGCAGAUGAACUUGAGCUUCAAACCAUCCAGGCUUGACUGAUAAAUCCUAGCUUUGGUCUCAUCAGUGACAUGUACUAGCUGGAGAACAUGAUUGAGCCGCUUACCAUCUUGGAUGCUGUGUUUAAAGUGGUUUGCUUUCAUGGAGAUGCAAGCACCUGGCUGAAGUGAGCAUGGGUGAGCCACAGUGGUUGAUUAGUGACCAAUCCUAGCUCUUGUCUCAGCAACAUCAACCAGCAGGUGGACUUGAGCUUCUAACCAUCCAGGCUUGAGUGAUCAAUCAGUAGCUCUAGGCUCACAAACAUCAACCAGUAGCGCUGUGUUUAAAGUGGUUUGCUUUCGUGGAGAUGCAAGCAACUGGCUGAAAUGAGCAUGGAUCAGCCACAGUGGAUGAUAAGUGACCAAUCCUAGCUCUAGUCUCGGCAACAUCAACCAGCUGGUGCGGAAAUGCCUCCACGUGCCAAUACAUUGAAGCCAAUUUCCAACUUGUGGAGCGUCAAAGAAAGAUGAUUGACAUUUCCCCCCUAACCGCUCCUUUAUCAGUGUUGGGUUUACUUUGGUCGACCUUCAUGGAGAUGCCAUUGACUGGCUAAAGG